GUUCUUGCGUCACUUCUGAAAAAAAAAUCCACAUGUACUCUGAAACCACGAGUACAAUCGACCUCAAAAUUUGCAGUCAGCAGGGCAUACAUGUACUAAAAGUUUAUAAAAAAACUUGAUGCAGAUAUCUUUUAAAGCUUUUCCUAGAGAAAAGAAAUGGCAAUGCCAUAAAAAUCGCUUGCUAGGUCCGUAAAUCUGAGUAAAAACCUACAAUAAAAUGUCAGCUCCGAGAUUGAAAUACUAAUCUGAGUUACAAACAGGUGCUGAAAAAUGUACAAUAUCAGAAAAUAAUCAAUAAAUGUGUUUUAAAGUUACACCGGAUCAAUUAAA
rnacentral:lncRNA from 1 species